CUGUUCAUACUUGGACAUGCUAGCUGACUGCAGGAGGGCAGGUUCAGACUUCUGUCUACCACACCAUCACAGUGAAAGGUGUUCAACCCACAACUUCCUCUACCUUUGUAUUGAAAUCCUCUCCCAGAAUGAAUACUUUCACCACUGCUUCCUCAAACUCAGGCCCAUCAGUUUCCUCAGAUGUUCCUCUGGUUGCUGUAGUUGUUGUCUCUGUCAGUCUGUUGGCUGCUGCAUUGAUGAUAAUUGUGAUAUGCAAGAAAAGGACAAGUGAGUGUGUAACAUGCA